rnacentral:rRNA from 1 species
GACGAACGCUGGCGGCGCGCUUAACACAUGCAAGUCGAACGGAGUGGCAAACGGGUGAGUAACGCGUAGGCAACCUGCCUCCCGGAUAGGGACAACGGCUCGAAAGAGCCGCUAAUACCUCAUGCCGGGAGAGGGGCCUGCGUCUGAUUAGCCAGUUGGUAGGUAACGGCCCACCAAAGCAACGAUCAGUAGCCGGUCUGAGAGGAUGAACGGCCACAAUGGGACUGAGACACGGCCCAUACUCCUACGGGAGGCAGCAGUGGGGAAUCUUCCGCAAUGGGCGAAAGCCUGACGGAGCGACGCCGCGUGAGUGAAGAAGGUCUUCGGACCGUAAAGCUCUUUUGUUGCAGGCGCGGUAUGCAACGAAUAAGCCACGGCUAACUACGUGCCAGCAGCCGCGGUAAUACGUAGGUGGCGAGCGUUGUCCGGAAUUAUUGGGCGUAAAGGGAGCGCAGGCGGAAGGACAAGCCAGAUUUGAAAGUUCGGGGCUCAGCCCCGUGACGGAUCUGGAACUGUUCUCCUUGAGAGCGGGAGAAGGAAGCGGAAUUCCUGGUGUAGCGGUGAAAUGCGUAGAUAUCAGGAAGAACACCAGUGGCGAAAGCGGCUUUCCGGACCGAAUCUGACGCUGAGGCUCGAAAGCCAGGGGAGCGAACGGGAUUAGAUACCCCGGUAGUCCUGGCCGUAAACGAUGGAUGCUAGGUGUGGGGCCGUGCCGGAGCAAACGCAAUAAGCAUCCCGCCUGGGGAGUACGGUCGCAAG